rnacentral:rRNA from 1 species
GACGAACGCUGGCGGCGUGCCUAAUACAUGCAAGUAGAACGCUGAAGGAGGGGCUUGCUUCUCUGGAUGAGUUGCGAACGGGUGAGUAACGCGUAGGUAACCUGCCUGGUAGCGGGGGAUAACUAUUGGAAACGAUAGCUAAUACCGCAUAAUAGUAGAUGUUGCAUGACAUUUGCUUAAAAGGUGCAAUUGCAUCACUACCAGAUGGACCUGCGUUGUAUUAGCUAGUUGGUGGGGUAACGGCUCACCAAGGCGACGAUACAUAGCCGACCUGAGAGGGGGAUCGGCCACACUGGGACUGAGACACGGCCCAGACUCCUACGGGAGGCAGCAGUAGGGAAUCUUCGGCAAUAGACGGAAGUCUGACCGAGCAACGCCGCGUGAGUGAAGAAGGUUUUCGGAUCGUAAAGCUCUGUUGUAAGAGAAGAACGAGUGUGAGAGUGGAAAGUUCACACUGUGACGGUAUCUUACCAGAAAGGGACGGCUAACUACGUG